UAUAAAAAAAUCACGAAAAACCCGUGGGUUUGUCGGUGGGGCUGAACAUGCUCUCCUCGGCCUUGCCACCAACAUCCUCUCCCUCUACCACCGUCCAAAUCCAAUCCGCGUCCCUCCGAUCUACUCCUCUACACCCACUUCUUCCCCAUAGCCGAGGAUCUCAUCCUCAGAGGUUGCCACCGCUGCCUCUCCAAAACCGCCCUUCUCAACCACUACACCUGCAAAACCUUCUCCUACUUUCGACAUGAGAGAUCAGAAAUCGAGGUAUUCAACUUACAAAGCAGAUCUGGAUAGAGUGUUGAGUGGUGGGGGUGACCAAUUUUUGAGUAAAAGAUUGGAUCUUGGCAAGGUUUUUGAUCGGUAAAUUGGGCUGUGGCUGACAAGGGUGAUGUUAGUGGGGUCAAGAAUGGGGAGGUUUAUUUGACUGCCCUCAUUGCAGAAGCCAUUGAUUAGAUCAAGCUCCAAUUAAGCUCUGUGAAGCAUUUGUGGUCACAUUGCAUAAAAGAAAGACACCAUUUCAUCCUUGCAAUCUUGUUGGUUUCAGUAAGUGUAGGCUUGAUAGCACUUGUGUGAGGUUUCAACUGAUUACUCUUAAGAAAUCUACCAAUUGUUGUCUUGCUUACUUCCAUCUUAGAAGCAACCUUCCUUAUGGUUGAUCUCUCAAACAUGGACAGGUUUCUAAACUUGUCUUCAUCUAACAUGAGUUAACUUUGUGUUGAUAACAUGUUGCUUUGCCUUGCAUCAUGACAGGUUCCCCUUUGUCUAUCUGUUGCUUGCUGAUGUGCCAAAUUCUCUUUACUGUCCUUUUGUGGAUGUUGAAUCUUUUGGCUGCCUCUGCAGAAGAACCUCUUGGCAGCACUCCAGCCGUACUUCGCUGUAGAAGAAACUGCGCAAUGAGGUUUUUUUGUUGGCUAGUCAAUGCUAAUGUAGGCCCCUGCCAUCCACCCUGCUGCACCUGAUCAAGGUCCAACACCUGGACCACCACAUUCUUCAUUACCCAGUGAUGAAAAUUUUCUGAGAGUAUAAUACAAAACCAAUAGCUUUUCCUUUUUUGUUUUGGUUGGUGGAAGUAACUGAAGAGUAGAAAUGAAUGUAUUUAUAGGAGUUGGUGAACACUUUUAAAUUCCUUGUACAUUUUCCCUCAUUGCUUGUAAAAAUUCCCUCCACUAAAUGAAAUUGGCUUUGCCUCUCUAUUUUUGGGAGGAAGUUGAA